rnacentral:misc_RNA from 1 species
GUGAAUCAUCGAAUUUUUGAACGCAAAUUGCACUCUCCGGUUUUCCGGGAGAGUAUGCCUGUUUGAGGUUCAGCCUAAAAAAAAUCGACAUUGUUGCUGUUAUUUAAUGGUGACUUUCGUCGGAGCUUGGGUUAUCUUAAACCUUUUUUUUUUUUUAUUUUUAAGCGAUUCAAAAUUUUUCUUUAAGAUUCCAUGAACGUUC